rnacentral:lncRNA from 1 species
CUCCACCCAGUUGGAGCUUCCAGGCUGCUUUGUUUACCUAAGCAAGCCUGGCAAUGGCGGGCGCCCCUCCCCCAGCCUCGCUGCCACCUUGCAGUUUGAUCUCAGAUUGCUGUGCUAACAAUCAGCCAGACUCCUUGGGCGUAGGACCCUCCGAGCCAGGUGUGGGAUAUAAUCUCGUGGUGCGCCAUUUUUUAAGCUGGUCAGAAAAGCGCAGUAUUCAGGUGGGAGUGGCCCGAUUUUCCAGGUGCGUCGGUCACCCGUUUCUUUGACUCGGAAAGGGAACUCCCUGACCCCUUGCGCUUCCCAAGUGAGGCAAUGCCUCUCCCUGCUUCGGCUCGCGCAUGGUGCGCGCACCCACUGACCUGCGCCCACUGUCUGGCACUCCCAAGUGAGAUGAACCCGGUACCUCAGAUGGAAAUGCAGAAAUCACCCGUCUUCUGCAUCGCUCACGCUGGGAGCUGUAGACAGGAGCUGUUCCUAUUCGGCCAUCUUGGCUCCUCUCGAUAAUUGCUUUCAUGUGAACCCUUCAUAAGGUAAAAUCAAAUCCCUAUUAGGAUAAAUGAUUGAGUGUUCCUGUAAAGAAUUGUUCCCCUGGUUCAAGCAACCAGAUUUCAUUCCCAGAUGAUCAAAAAUGGACUUGAUGAAAUGGAAAAGCACUGAUAGAAACAGCCGUCGAUAUAUAGCUAAGGAUGAUAACAAGCACAACAAGGACUUACAGCAUUUGCUUUGCACCAGACACCAUCUAAAACACUUCACAAAUAUUAACUCAAAGGAACCUAUCAUAAUGCUGUCAUUAUUCCCAGUUCACAGAUGGGGAGGUAAAAACCCAGAGCUUAAUAGCAUGUCCAAGAUCACAUAACUAUUCCACUGCUCAAAAUUACUCCUGAAGGGAUGAGGACACCAGGAUAUGCCACCGGACCACUGAAGGAAUGGUGAUGGUAUGAAGAAAGUAUUUUUAAUGAGCAGAGCCAUUGUUUGCUCUGCUCUGUCCUCACCCCUCAAGAGAAUUUCCCUUAUUAUUAUGAAAACUUUUUAUCUUAAAAGAUAUUACAUGUUAAUGGAACUGUCGUUUAACAAAUGUUUUAUAAGUGUACCAAUCAAGCACAUUGUCGAAAUAAAAGAUAUGAAAUAAGUGAAAAAAA